rnacentral:rRNA from 1 species
CCUACGGGAGGCAGCAGUGAGGAAUAUUGGUCAAUGGGCGGAAGCCUGAACCAGCCAAGUAGCGUGCAGGAUGACGGCCCUACGGGUUGUAAACUGCUUUUAUACGGGAAUAACGCGCCGUACGUGUAGGGCUUUGCAUGUACCGUAUGAAUAAGGACCGGCUAAUUCCGUGCCAGCAGCCGCGGUAAUACGGCUGGUCCGGGCGUUAUCCGGAUUUAUUGGGUUUACAGGGAGCGUAGGCGGCAUGUCAAGCGUGCUGUGAAAUGUCCGGGCUCCCCCCGGGCCUUGCAGCGCGAACUGGCGUGCUUGAUUCCGCGGGCAGCAGGCGGAAUUCGUCGUGUAGCGGU